AGCGAACGCUGGCGGCGUGCUUAACACAUGCAAGUCGAGGGAGAACGGGUGGCUUCGGCUGCCCUAGUAAACCGGCGCACGGGUGAGUAACACGUAGGUAACCUACCCUCGAGACUGGGAUAACCCAUCGAAAGAUGAGCUAAUACCAGAUAUGACCACGGGAGUUUCGGCUUCUGCGGUGAAAGAUGGCCUCUGCUUGCAAGCUAUCACUCGGGGAUGGGCCUGCGCGCCAUUAGCUAGUUGGUGGGGUAACGGCCCACCAAGGCUACGAUGGCUAGUUGGUCUGAGAGGAUGACCAGCCACACUGGGACUGAGACACGGCCCAGACGUCCUACGGGAGGCAGCAGUGGGGAAUAUUGCGCAAUGGGGAAACCCUGACGCAGCGACGCCGCGUGGGUGAUGAAGGCC
rnacentral:rRNA from 1 species